rnacentral:tRNA from 1 species
UCCCCUGUAGCUCCGUCGAGAGAGCGGGUGGCUAUUAACAACCAGGUCGUAAGUUCGAAUCUUACCGGGGGAG